GUGCUCACAUUGGCAGCACAUGUACUAAAAUUGGAAGGGUAUAGAGAUUAGCUUGGUUCCUGUGCAAGGAUGACAUGAAAAUUCACCAAGUGUUCCAUCGCCCU